AGCGAACGCUGGCGGCAGGCUUAACACAUGCAAGUCGAGCGGGCGUAGCAAUACGUCAUCGGCAGACGGGUGAGUAACGCGUGGCAACGUACCUUUUGGUUCGGAACAACACAGGGAAACGUGUGCUCAUACCGGAUAAGCCCUUACGAGGACAGAUUUAUCGCCGAAGGAUCCGCCCGCGUCUGAUUAGCUAGUUGGUUGGGUAACGCCGCACCAAGGCGACGAUCAGUAGCUGGUCUGAGAGAAUGAUCAGCCACAUUGGCACUGGGAAACGGCCCAAACUCUUACGGGAGGCAGCAGUGGGGAAUAUUGGCAAAUCGGGGCAACCAUGAACCAGCCAUGCCGCGUGAGUGAUGAAGGCCCUAGAGUUGUAAAGCUCUUUUGUGCGGGAAGAUAAUGACGGUACCGAAAGAAUAAGCCCCGGCUAACUUCGUG
rnacentral:rRNA from 1 species